GAUCAUGGCUCAGGAUGAACGCUAGCGACAGGCCUAACACAUGCAAGUCGAGGGGCAGUGGAGAGGUAGCGAUACCUUUGCCGGCGACCGGCGCACGGGUGAGUAACACGUAUGCAAUCCACCUGUAACAGGGGGAUAACCCGGAGAAAUCCGGACUAAUACCCCAUAAUAUGGGCGCUCCGCAUGGAGAGCCCAUUAAAGAGAGCAAUUUUGGUUACAGACGAGCAUGCGCU
rnacentral:rRNA from 1 species